AUCUUUAGAGCUAUUUAGUUACUACCCCAAUGUCUGUCAGUGGUGUCUUCGGCUUCAUUGACAAUUCAGCAUAAUUUUGAAAAAUAUAAAUGGAAGUAUAAGGUACCAUGACUUUGUGUGAGAAGAUGUAUCCAUCAAAUCACAAAACAGUGUUUGUUUUGGAUCACACUCCAUACUUUGGCAUAUCAUGUGAAUGUCUCAUUGAAUUUGAUUUUACCAAAUCCCGGGGUCCAGCAUUCAUACCUCUAGCACCUAUUUCGAAGUCCCUUUGGACAUGCAGUGUUGAAGCAGCCAUAGAGUAUUGCCGGAUUGUUUGGGAUUUGUUUCCACAAGGAAAACUGAUUCGGUUUGUCGUAAGUGACACAACAGCACACACCUUAAACACAUGGAGUCCAUCUGAGCAGAAUUUAAGCCAUGUGCUUGCAGAAUUGUCCACAAUGGGCAUUCCUGCAAGAACUCAUCAGCAGGGAGAGUUCUCAGUUAUCCACGGACUCAGAGCAGCAAUAGAAGCAUUGUGUGAGUGUUCUGACAUUCAGCACGAAAAGAGAACUUCACUGACAGAAAAUGCCAGCAAAGUGUUGAACAGAUGUCGUGUGAUUUGCAUAACUUCUGCGCGGGACAAUAACAGCAUGAAGAGUUUAAAGGAGAUAUUCCAGAAUGUCCUCAUCCAGCACAACAAAAUUGCUGCAGGGUCUGAUCACCUAAUUACCGUGCACCACUGUCACCUGGUCAUUAUCAAUGUCUACCCAAAUAAUGUGGAAUCACAAGUGACAAGCCAUCCUCCAAGAGAUCUCUCAGCCAUCUUGACUACAGAAGUCCAUUCAGUUAAGGCUGGAGGUCAGAUUGCAUCAAAAUUAUCAAAUUUGAUCCUGAAUCAUUAUGAUCUUGGCUCUACAACUGUAACUGGAAUCCCAAUGAAAGAGGAACAGAAUGCAAGUUCAUCAGCUAACUAUGAUGUUGAAAUAUUUCAUUCGUCAGCUGCACACACAUCUAUACUGAAAGGUAAUGCUGCUGACUCUGCCUUGAUCAGGACGCAGCGUGAGGGUGCUGAUUAUGAGACAGUGACACUUAAAUGGUGUACCCCUAGGGGCUGCAGUGCGUCUGAGAUGCAGAACUGUAUUGCCAUGCACCGUAUCACUCCUGUGGAUGUUAACAGUCGCCCAUCAUCAUGCCUAAUCAACUUCCUGCUCAAUGGCCGUUCAGUAAUGCUGGAAAUGCCCCGUAAGGCUGGCGGUAAGAUGAUAUCUCACCUCCUGGCAGCCCAUGGAGGGGAGAUAUUUGUUCACACACUGGUCACAGCAAGAAGUGUGCUUGAGGACCCACCAUCCAUCAGUGAAGGCUGCGGUGGCAGAGUUACAGACUACAGAAUUACAGACUUUGGUGCGCUUAUGCAAAACAACAAGUUGGUACCUCUGAAGCGAAAGUUUGAUGAUUCAGACACCGAGACACCACUGAGCAGAAUGAGAUCAAGGUUAGAUCGUCACACAAGAUACUGGCCCAUCACCAUAUCAUCAACUUUCAUAUUCAACUUAAAAAAUUACAUUGACCCUCUGCCAGCGCUUCUAGUGAAGGAGGAAAUGACCGAUGAAGAAGUAGUCCAGUGCAAACAGGUCAUAUACAGUCUCAUUAACUUGGAAACAAAACACGAGCCUCUGCAGAUGCCAAAUAUGGGACAGAGGGGGAAGGGACCCAAGCGGGAGGAGCAGUACCGUAUCAUGUGGAGCGAGCUUGAAACAUUCCUGCGUGCAAAUUGUCGCACAGAUCAGCACAAUCGAGUGCUGAAUUGUCUCCUGGAGUGUCGGAACAAAUCUGACGAUGAGAAGAUUAAACUGGAGAAGAAAGAUGAUAAAGUGGAACUGGACCAGGCACUUCGAGAGUUAGACCAGUUUGGUAAAUUCAGUGAAGCAUCGCCGAGUGAAUAUGUACCCCGGGCCAGCGUCAUUCGAGCAACAACAGACUCUCCUAUGUCACCCCCUCCCAUGUCCAUAACCACGCCUCCGUCUGUUCCUUCCAGAUCCUCUCUACUCCGAUCUGGGCCCAUAGCCGGUGGAAGCAUCUAUUCAGGACCAAGAACCGUUUUGGACAUUUGGAUCAGCCGGACCAGUGCUGAACAACGAUCCCGUGACUUGAGGCAGGAGUUUGCUGGAAGGCUUAAUGGAGAAGCUACAGCAGGAGGUGGCAGCAUUGCCAAAUUAUACCCAAACCUGAAGGAUGGCGAUCGUGGGGGAAGGGAGAUGCAUCUCGAUGGGUAGGCCAGAGCUCACCUGACCUGACCGGAUGUGACCAUACCUGCCUGUUGUUUUGCAAUCUUUCUGUGGCCCACAUACAGUGCAUGACUAUUGACUGCUUUCUGAAUGUGCCCACCAGCCUUCAUAACCAUCCCUAUGAUCUCAAAACAAUGGGAUGGUGCAGAUGUGAUACCACCAGCGUCUGCAUCAAGACUCAGUACUGUAUAAGACUUUUUGUGUGUAUAUUUUUAGAGUAACAUAAAAAUCAUGCAAAACCUUCAGAUUGCUGACUUCAUUAUUGAUAGAACUACUUAAACUUUUGUCUGGUACUCAUGAAUUCGCCAACCGUUAUUACAUGGGCUUUUAUUUAUGAUAUAUGAAGGGCUUUAUGUACUCACAGUCCACUCGUAACAUCAAAAAUGGCAGGAAUCUGUUUAACAUGGGCUGCAUUCUUGAAUUAUAUGCCCUUGGUCUUAUGAGAAAUAAGGGGAUAAGGUUCCUUAUAAACAAGUAUAUUAUGUACAUGGUAUAGAGUAUAAGAAACAGCUUUUUACUUAUAGUUAUUGUAUAUACUGAAAAAACAUGGUGCCAAUCAUCAAUCCAGGUGUGAUUUCUGUAACACUAACCCUGUUGGCUACUUGACUUUGUUCAAUAGUUGUGAUGGAAGAUUCACUGCUAUAAAAAUGCCUUCCAAAGAUACUGUCUCACAACACUAGAUUCUUCUGUUCUGAAGUCAGAAUGUUUCCAGUUCCUUUUGCAGCACACACUGCAUGUACAUGCAGACAUGAAAUAUGUAUGUGUUGGGAGAUCUCUGAGACAAUGGUCACUUCAAAGACCAAGGGAACAGAGUGUAUGCCUCAUUCCAGGAGUCUUUUCAUACUCUCAGCAACAAUAUUUUGUUCUUGUGGGUGACCUCAUGCGGACAGAUGAAUCCAGUUGGCUGGACGAUGCACAGAGCGGUGAAAUGGUCAGUCUUUGGUGUGGCCUUGUACAGAGUAAACCAUCUCACAGCAGCUGUUUACUGCACUUUCAUGUACCAUCAAGAGAAAUGCUGCUGUCUAGAUCAGGAAAGUAGAGGGUGAGAGAUGGAAGAAGAUAUAUUAUUUUAUGAAAUGUGAGGAAGAGGCAGGCAUUAGCAUUGAACUUGUCACUGCCUCUGCCUCACACUACUUCCACUUGCUUUUCCCUCUUGCACGUAGACACCAAACUGCAUGAACUUGAAUAUAAUAUUAAGUUAGAAUUUUGGGAGAUCAUGUCCAACAGCAAACUUUUGUAUUAGUAGUGAUAUACCUUCGGGUUCUACUGUCAGAGGGUUUCCUUCACAUGCUUUGAUGUGAGAAAUUUUAUUAAAGAAUAGAUUUGCUCUUAGUGAGGUUUACAUAUGUGGUAGAGUCAUUAAGUUCGUGGAAUGUGGUUUUAUCAUAUCAUUGUUAUUUUUGUUACUUCACGUGGAUCGA